UACGUAGGGGGCAAGCGUUGUCCGGAAUUAUUGGGCGUAAAGGGCGCGUAGGCGGCUCUUUAAGUCAAAGGUGAAAUCCCUCGGCUCAACUGAGGAACUGCCUUUGAAACUGAGGAGCUUGAGUCCGGGAGGGGGUAGCGGAAUUCCCAGUGUAGCGGUGAAAUGCGUAGAUAUUGGGAGGAACACCAGUGGCGAAGGCGGCUACCUGGACCGGAACUGACGCUGAGGCGCGAAAGCGUGGGGAGCAAACGGG
rnacentral:rRNA from 1 species